UACGUAGGUGGCAAGCGUUGUCCGGAAUUAUUGGGCGUAAAGCGCGCGCAGGCGGUCCUUUAAGUCUGAUGUGAAAGCCCACGGCUCAACCGUGGAGGGUCAUUGGAAACUGGGGGACUUGAGUACAGAAGAGGAAAGCGGAAUUCCACGUGUAGCGGUGAAAUGCGUAGAGAUGUGGAGGAACACCAGUGGCGAAGGCGGCUUUCUGGUCUGUAACUGACGCUGAGGCGCGAAAGCGUGGGGAGCAGACAGG
rnacentral:rRNA from 1 species